rnacentral:lncRNA from 1 species
GGAGUUCGCAUGGACAGAACGGUUACACAACUGCCCCAUCUUGUGAACACAUUGCCCAUCCCAGAGAAUGGGGGAGCCAGAGCAAUUACCCGGUUGGUGGAAACUGAUCAUGGACAUUUGAUUAUAGUUAUUAAUGGGGAGAAUGGGAGACAGACCGCUGAGCGGCAGGCUAGCGCUAAGUGAAUGUGUAUGAGAUUCCUGGAGGGGGAUUAAUUUCUGUUUGCUUUUCAUCUCUCAGCUACCAUCUGAAUGUGACACCAAGUCUAAGCGUGACUUGUCACAGCCUUAUCAGUAUUCAGUGCCUUGCAUGCUGGUCACAUUAUCUCCGCUGGAUGUACCAAACGAGGGGUCUCUUGCUGUGGGGGUUCAUUUUCCUCUGAUUCUAAUGCGGGACUGGGGUUAGCUAGUGACUGGCUUUUCAGGGGAGAAUCGUACCUUGGCGUGUCAGAAAGACACUCUUCAAGCAAAUGUUUGCCUCUCUGUGUGUUUCCCAUUGGCACUGAGCACACAGUUCCUAAUCUGGAGGGUGCACAGGCUCUCCUCAAGCUUUCGGCCCCAUCAGAGGACGCUAGGCUUUUUCUGUAUCUCAACUAUGAGAUCUCAAGCUCUUCAGGUGGAGGUCAGAGGACAACUUGAAGAAAUCAGCUCUCUCCUUGUACCAAGUGGGUCCCAGGGGGCAAACUCAGAUCACCAGGCUCCGUGGAAGAACUUCUACUGAACAAGCCAUCUCACUGGUCUGGGGACUUUUUUUUCUUUAGCAUAGCUCAGUGGGGUGAACUGCUUGCUGCACAGGUGUCCAGCACCCACAUGAAGAGACAAGUGUGGGGAUCCACGCCAGUGCUCUCGCACACAGAGCAUCGCCGAGUUUGGGAUGAAUGAAGCUAAGGAGUUCUCCUUUGCAGCUUGAGGAGGGAUCUAGCCCUCCACGCUGGUGUGACGGUAAGCUGUAAUGGUGCAGAGCCUGGUGUGUUUGAACCUGGGACUCAUUCCUCAUCACAGGCAUUCUCAUAGCAGCCGCGGGACACAGGCAGGCGGCAGGGACAGGAAGGAGGGACAGGCGGAGGGGGAAGUGGGAGGAGACUGACUCUGAACCCCGUGGGUAAUGCUAUGUCAACCGUGUACUUCCUGUGGCUGUGGAUCAGACUCACCAGUGAGAACUGGGGAGAGCAGUCACUGACAGUCUUGGAAAGGCCUGCCUUCUAGAGAGAAGGUCUGAGAACCUCCUCGCCCCCAGCAGCGGAGACUUUAGAACCCAUCUGUCUGGAGGUCACAGGGUCCUGGCACGUUGUCAAAUUAAACUAUCAUGCAAUCUCAACACACCCUGG